AUUGUACGCUGGCGGCAUGCUUUACACAUGCAAGUCGAACGGCAGCACAGAGAAGCUUGCUUCUUGGGUGGCGAGUGGCGAACGGGUGAGUAAUAUAUCGGAACGUACCGAGUAAUGGGGGAUAACUAAUCGAAAGAUUAGCUAAUACCGCAUAUUCUCUGAGGAGGAAAGCAGGGGACCUUCGGGCCUUGCGUUAUUCGAGCGGCCGAUAUCUGAUUAGCUAGUUGGUGGGGUAAAGGCCUACCAAGGCGACGAUCAGUAGCGGGUCUGAGAGGAUGAUCCGCCACACUGGGACUGAGACACGGCCCAGACUCCUACGGGAGGCAGCAGUGGGGAAUUUUGGACAAUGGGUGCAAGCCUGAUCCAGCCAUGCCGCGUGUCUGAAGAAGGCCUUCGGGUUGUAAAGGACUUUUGUCAGGGAAGAAAAGGCUGUUGCUAAUAUCGACAGCUGAUAGACGGUACCUGAAGAAUAA
rnacentral:rRNA from 1 species